rnacentral:lncRNA from 1 species
GGUGGCUGCCUGGAUGUCCUGAAUCGAUUCAAAACAUUUCCCUUUCAUGGUCAUUUUGACUUUGGAGAAGAGCUAGAAGCCCUACAGUGCCAGACAAAACACAGCAACUCCUGAGCUCAGCUGUAAACUCCAGAGUCUGGAAGUGCCUCGUGCAGUGCCUCUCACACCUGGCUAAUCAAUGAGUUUAUUUGGUCCGGGAUCCCCAUCAUUAUCGGCAGCCACAACAAUAGUCACUCAGGAUCUGUGUGAUGAUAUCUUUAUGGUGAAACAGAGGCGAAGAGAAAGUACACUGUGGCCCACAGGCAUGUUGUGAGAGUUUGGACUUGAACUUAAAUGCAGGUCCUUCAACUUCAGGGCAAAGUGCUGAGAAUCACACUUCCUUACCCCACAUAGCAUCUCGGUUUCCAGCUUGAACUCACCAACAAAGACUUUACCCAAAACUUUAGGACCGAUAACCAUGAGUGCUGGAGCCCAAAUGACGAUGGCACCGCAGAAAGUAAGC